GGAGGGGUGGCAGAGUGGUCGAAUGCGACGGUCUUGAAAACCGUAGUGCGGGAAACUGCACCGGGGGUUCGAAUCCCUCCCCCUCCGCCA
rnacentral:tRNA from 1 species